AGUAAUCUUAUCACGACGCCUGAGCUCCACUGAAUCUCUUCUGAAGAGGAUACUAACACGGAAUUUGUCUGAAAGCAACGAGAGUGACAGGGAGAAGAAAAAGGCAACGCAACUCAGCAGGUUUUUAAGUGGUGUUUGCUAUAUUUGGAGAUGGAGUUCCAGCCGAAUAUUAUCCGAGAAUCCAGCACGAUGGAGACACUGGAGAAGCAACUCAUCUGCCCGAUUUGUCUUGAAAUGUUUGAAAAGCCGGUUGUGAUCCUGCCAUGCCAACACAAUCUGUGCAGAAAAUGUGCCAAUGAUGUAUUCCAGGCUGCUAAUCCAUAUUGGCAGGGUCGAGGUACCAUGAUUUCUGGAGGUAGGUUCAGGUGCCCAUCCUGUCGACAUGAAGUUAUCCUGGACCGUCAUGGGGUAUAUGGACUGCAGAGGAACCUACUGGUGGAGAACAUCAUUGAUAUCUACAAGGAAGAGGGAAUCAGCCGACCCUUAAAGAAAGGCAAUCAGCCCAUGUGUGAAGAGCACGAAGAUGAAAAGAUCAACAUUUACUGCAUCUCUUGCCAAGUUCCCACCUGCUCAAUGUGCAAGGUCUUUGGUGCCCACAAGGACUGUGAGGUGGCUCCCCUGCAGAAUGUAUUUCAACAGCAAAAGACAGAACUGACUGAUGGAAUUGCGAUGCUUGUGGCUGGCAACGACAGGGUCCAGGUUAUUGUUGAUCAAUUGGAAGAGACAUGCAAAAGCAUUGAGGAGAACAGCAGACAUCAGAAACACUUGCUCAUGGAACAGUUUGACAAGUUAUACACUAUUCUGGAGCAAAGGAAAAAUGACAUGCUUCAAUCAAUUACAAAAGAACAGGAGGACAGAGUUGCAUUCAUCAAAGAUCUGAUCAGGCAGCACAAAGAGCAUCUAGAGGCAUCUUCUAAACUGAUAGAAAAUGCAAUUCAAUUCAUGGAGGAACCUGGAAUAGCUUCCUUUCUCGUGAAUGCAAAGAAACUCUUGGAAAAGAUCGUUGAUGCCUCCAGAACCUCCCACAUACCAGAAUAUGAAGACGGGUUUGAAAAUAUGGACCAAUUUUCAGUGGAUCUGGAAAUGGCAGAGGAAACCCUGAAGAAUAUAAGAUUUGGAAUAGGUAUUACCAUUAUGAGGAAGAGAUAGAGGAAGAAGUGGAGACUGAGGAGGAGGAUAUAGUGGAAGAUCAAGCUGAUGACCAGCAGUGACGCCAUUGUGGUGAUGACGUGGAAUGUCUUUUGUGAAUUCUUGGGAUUAUCUCACUCCCCCUGAAUCACAGACAGCUGAAGAAGAAGUCCAACUUGUUCAACAAUUUUCUUUUUGUUCAUAAAACUGUCUUUAAAAAAAAACAAAAACAAGUGUUUUUAUAUGGUGCAAAAUUAAGGGUUUUGUACAUUUUAUAUCUUAUUUUUGUAUAUAAUACAAUGGGUUGAUAAUUCAUUGUAUUUUUUUUAAACAAUGAGACUUAGCAUUCAGCAUAGCUUAAGUCCACCAUCUGCAAUAUGUCUGCUAUUCCAUUAGAUUUUUACUUGAAGCACUACAUUGUCGCAAUCCCCAGUUAGUGAUAGGCAAAGAUGCUUCCAUAAGUCACUAGUUCAUGGACUUUUUUGCUUGUAAAUCCCCUUUGCAAAUGGUUUCAGUCAUCACAGACCCCUUCGUCCUAUCUGAAUUCUCACAGUAUAAACUUCUUUCAUUUUGGCAUUUCUGCAAGUAAAAUUAAUUUGUAUCCCCAUUAAAGGGCUUUGUAGCUUUUCUCUAGUUCUGACUUAAAGCCCAGUUGCAUCACUGAUUGAUUGUCUUUCUGGAUCCUCUGGACAAGGUUGAUGUAGCAACUCCUUCAUACCCUUUCCUGAGUUCAGACCCAGGAACCCAUUCCUGGUCCCUCCAUUAUCUCUUACCUGCACUGUUGGGAUUUUCAGUCUGUCCAAAUCCCUGCUAAUCCUAUUACAGUGAGUGAACUCUCAGAUUUGUCCCUCCAGAAGAUCCAAAGCAACCAAAAUAAUAGCCAACAGUGUAUGCCAGGCUCACAUCAUCACAGCAAUAGAUCCCCUUUACCUUCUUUCCCACAGUACCUGAAAAGACUUUAUUAAAUCCCUGGGACCCCAGUUUGAGAACCACAGCUCUCAGUAUCACUAAAUGAAAACUGAAUGCAUUAAAGGCGGCAAAUGUAGAGCAAAGAAACAAGGAAAUAUUAAAACUAUCAGAUCAUUCUAAAAAAUUAAAUGAAUUAACGCUGGAGACUUGAAAUAAGAAAUAGAAAAUGGUGCAAGUAGGUGGCAAGUCAAUUACUAUUUUGAAGAACAGAUUUUUAGUCGUAGCAGAUUCCUGAGAUGUCAGUUUAAAAGCUCCAUUAUGAUAGUCACUUCAUUUUCAUGCCUGUAUGUUGUUUGAAAUUAUUC